GCCGCGUGCAGGAAGACGGUCCUAUGGAUUGUAAACUGCUUUUAUACAGGAAGAAAAAGCCCGACGUGUCGGGUGUUGACGGUACUGUACGAAUAAGGAUCGGCUAACUCCGUGCCAGCAGCCGCGGUAAUACGGAGGAUCCGAGCGUUAUCCGGAAUUAUUGGGUUUAAAGGGUCCGUAGGCGGGAUAAUAAGUCAGUGGUGAAAGUUUGUGGCUCAACCAUAAAAUUGCCAUUGAUACUGUUAUUCUUGAGUUAUUGUGAAGUGGUUAGAAUGUGUAGUGUAGCGGUGAAAUGCAUAGAUAUUACACAGAAUACCAAUUGCGAAGGCAGAUCACUAACAAUGAACUGACGCUGAUGGACGAAAGCGUAGGUAGCGAACAGGAUUAGAUACCCUGGUAGUCUACGCAGUAAACGAUGGUUACUAGCUGUUCGGUCUAAUUGAGGGCUGAGUGGUUAAGCGAAAGUGAUAAGUAACCCACCUGGGGAGUACGUUCGCAAGAAUGAAACUCAAAGGAAUUGACGGGGGCCCGCACAAGCGGUGGAGCAUGUGGUUUAAUUCGAUGAUACGCGAGGAACCUUACCAGGGCUUAAAUGCAUAUUGACAGGGGUGGAAACACCUUUUUCUUCGGACAAUUUGCAAGGUGCUGCAUGGUUGUCGUCAGCUCGUGCCGUGAGGUGUCAGGUUAAGUCCUAUAACGAGCGCAACCCCUAUGGUUAGUUGCUAGCAGGUCAUGCUGAGAACUCUAGCCAGACUGCCGGUGUAAACCGCGAGGAAGGUGGGGAUGACGUCAAAUCAUCACGGCCCUUACGUCCUGGGCUACACACGUGCUACAAUGGUAUGUACAAUGAGCAGCCACUACGCGAGUAGGCGCAAAUCUCAAAAGCAUAUCACAGUUCGGAUCGGAGUCUGCAACUCGACUCCGUGAAGCUGGAAUCGC
rnacentral:rRNA from 1 species